rfam:Ceraceosorus bombacis genome assembly, contig: Scaffold_275
GGUGCGGUAGCUCAGUGGUAGAGCGUGGGAUUGCAAUUUUGUGGCAAUUACCCCAAGGUCUCGGGUUCAAUCCCCGAUUGUGCCU